rnacentral:lncRNA from 1 species
AUCUGAUCUGUAGUCACAUGACUAAGCCAAGAGGAAGGAGCAAGACUCAAGACAUGAUUGAUGGAUGUUAAAGUCUAGCCUGAUGAGAGGGGAAGUGGUGGGGGAGACAUAGCCCCACCAUGAGGACAUACAACUGGGAAAUACUGAAACUUGCUGCCUAUUGGGUAUGCUGAGGCCCCACAGACUUACAGAAGAAGUGGCCCUCCAUAGACAU